AUACGCGCCGGAUUUGGAGAAGGGGCGGGACUUACGGAAAGGCCUGGGAGGAGAAGAAGGUGGGGCUGGUGGCGUUGCUAAAUGGCUGUGGGCGUAGAACUCGAAAGCCUGUCUCCAAAGAACUGUGUCAUCUGAAUCAGUUGACUCACCAGUACCUGGUCAGUACUGCUGGUCCUUACCAUGCCUUUGAAAGUUGAAGCAUUCUCAGGAUGGGAGCUGCAAGAAGACAGCUUUCUCCCUCUCUAGAACAUUGUCAAACAGCAGGCAUUGCAUACAAACAUGUUGGAUGAAGGGUGAACAACUGUUGGUGAAGAACAAAGAGUGUUUUUAUCACUGAAAAGAUCUUUACAGAGAUUCAGUCUAGUUCUUAAAAGCCUGUGGUCUUUUGGUAUGCUUAAGUUUCUUCAAAUCUGAAAAACUGGAUCCCAUCACAUUAAGUCAUAGUCAUCACUGUUCUCUGGACCCUCUACACACAGUGCUUGAUCCAUAGCAAUUGCAGUAGCAUAUAUUCCUUACAAAAGGACAAGUAACAAUGAACUUCAGAAUCAGAACAAGCCAACUCAACACUAUUUAGUUGACAGGACGGUGCUUAAGAGGAGGAG